AUUUACAAGUGGAAUCACCAAUCCAUUAAUAAAUCAUUCUGAAGCCCCACAGUCUGUAGUCCUUCAUUAUGGAGCCACGCGAUGAUGGGGCUGUGGCACUGGCUUGGCAGCAUGAUGGAGUGAAACACUCCUCAGGAGUUCAUCUAGCCCAUCUUCUUGCCUCUGAGCAUCUUUCCUGGAUGAGUACUUUAAAAAAAUGGUGUAACGAGAAGAGACCCUCAGCAGAACGCUCAGAAUGAUGAGAGGAGAUCCGAGAACUGUGGGGAAAACAACCGCACCAAAAUAUCCAUUCAUCACCAUUUUCUCAGCACCAUUGUG